GAGAAUGGGAUGGAGAAGGGGAACGAGGACACUCUCACUGGAGAUGGGAGCGGAACAUACAUCCCAGGAGCAGCAAUCUGUCUUUCAAACUGCUCUCAGCUCUUUCUCUCAAGAACAACAACAACCUUCUUGUUUGCCUCCAUGGUUUGAAUGCCGAAGGCAGCCCAAAGAAGCACGGUUAAAAUCAGAUGAAUGAAAACCUGUGUUAUUACAUCCAUAGGAUUUUAAGGUAUUGACUUUCUUUCCAGGUUGCCAUUUAAAAAAAUUGCCAAGUUCUCCUGGUCUGGCCUCAUAAACAGAAGAUCUUAAAGCAGACAUUUUAAUACAGACAUCAGUCUUAAUACAGACAUCUAUGGGUCAAAUGAGAUCAGUGUUCUUCCUUGCAAGGGCUGGCGCCUCUGAAACGGAACAUGAAGCACUGGAGGAGGAGGGAGCCCUCUUGGAUCUGUUUCUCUUUUUAGAUUUUAAUUGGUCAUAGGUCUCGAAUGAACUUGCCAGCACCUGCCCACACAUCUUGGAACCAGGUGCAUCAGAAAGAAAUAUUAUCUUGUGCGCUUCUUGCACUAGCCUGCCUGUCAGGAUGGAGCUGUGUCUGUCAGUCUCAGAGAUGGAUUGGGAUUGUGGCUCUCAGAGAAUGUGUAAGUUUCACAGCAGCAG